CCUACGGGUGGCAGCAGUAGGGAAUAUUGCUCAAUGGGGGAAACCCUGAAGCAGCAACGCCGCGUGGAGGAUGAAGGUUUUCGGAUUUUAAACUCUCUUUGUUAGAGAAGAUAAUGACGGUACCUAACGAAUAAGCACCGUCUAACUCCGUGCCAGCAGCCGCGGUAAUACGGCGGCUGCAAGCGUUAUUCGGAAUCAUUGGGCGUAAAGCGCGCGUAGGCGGGAUAGCAAGUCAGAUGUGAAAUCCUAUGGCUUAACCAUAGAACUGCAUUUGAAACUGUUAUUCUAGAGUAUGGGAGAGGUAGGUGGAAUUCUUGGUGUAUGGGUGAAAUGCGUAGAGAUCAAGAGGAAUACUGAUUGCGAAGGCGACCUACUAGAACAUAACUGACGCUGAUGCACGAAAGCGUGGGGAGCAAACAGGAUUAGAUACCCGGGUAGUC
rnacentral:rRNA from 1 species